rnacentral:rRNA from 1 species
CCUAGUAACGGCGAGUGAAGCGGCAACAGCUCAAAUUUGAAAUCUGGCCCUCGCGGUCCGAGUUGUAAUUUGUAGAGGAUGCUUUUGGUGCGGUGCCUUCCGAGUUCCCUGGAACGGGACGCCGGAGAGGGUGAGAGCCCCGUACGGUUGGACACCUAUCCUCUAUAUAGCUCCUUCAACGAGUCGAGUAGUUUGGGAAUGCUGCUCUAAAUGGGAGGUAAAUUUCUUCUAAAGCUAAAUACCGGCCAGAGACCGAUAGCGCACAAGUAGAGUGAUCGAAAGAUGAAAAGCACUUUGAAAAGAGGGUUAAAUAGCACGUGAAAUUGUUGAAAGGGAAGCGUUUGCGACCAGACCUUCUCCAGGGGGAUCAUCCGGCGUUCUCGCCGGUGCACUUCGCCUGGUUUAGGCCAGCAUCGGUUUUCGUAGGGGGAAAAAGUCUUGGGGCACGUAGCUCUUCCGGGAGUGUUAUAGCCCCUCGUGUAAUACCCUUCCGUGGACCGAGGACCGCGCCUUCUCGGCAAGGAUGCUGGCGUAAUGGUCGUCAACGACCCGUCUUGAAACACGGACCAAGGAGUCGAACAUUUGUGCGAGUGUUUGGGUGUUAAACCCUCACGCGUAAUGAAAGUGAACGGAGGUGAGAGCCUUUCGGGGCGCAUCAUCGACCGAUCCUGAUGUCUUCGGAUGGAUUUGAGUAAGAGCAUAACUGUUCGGACCCGAAAGAUGGUGAACUAUGCGUGGAUAGGGUGAAGCCAGAGGAAACUCUGGUGGAGGCUCGCAGCGGUUCUGACGUGCAAAUCGAUCGUCAAAUCUGCGCAUGGGGGCGAAAGACUUAUCGAACCAUCUAGUAGCUGGUUACCGCCGAAGUUUCCCUCAGGAUAGCAGUGUUGUUUUCAGUUUUAUGAGGUAAAGCGAAUGAUUAGGGACUCGGGGGCGCUUUUUUGCCUUCAUCCAUUCUCAAACUUUAAAUAUGUAAGAAGCCCUUGUUACUUAGCUGAACGUGGGCAUUCGAAUGUAUCAACACUAGUGGGCCAUUUUUGGUAAGCAGAACUGGCGAUGCGGGAUGAACCGAACGCGGGGUUAAGGUGCCAGAGUGGACGCUCAUCAGACACCACAAAAGGUGUUAGUACAUCCAGACAGCAGGACGGUGGCCAUGGAAGUCGGAAUCCGCUAAGGACUGUGUAACAACUCACCUGCCGAAUGUACUAGCCCUGAAAAUGGAUGGCGCUCAAGCGUCUCACCCAUACCUCGCC